CAGGGAGAAUAUGGGGGAAGGGAGCAGGGUGGGGAAGGAGGAGAGGGGUACUAGUCGCCAUCCGGACCUCCCUCCCAUGCUCUCCAGCGGCCCCUCGCUCCCCUCGCCUCACUGUACCAGACUCCAGAUGUUCGACAUAUUUUUUUGUGACUUUACAGAACCAAAAUCAACUAAAACAGACUCUUCCGGAUGCCGCAUCUCAGCCCCUACACUAUCUCCCCCUCUGCCUCGUCACUCCGUGAUGCCUCCCCCCAGCAGUGCUCUGCCACCUCACCCCGUCUCCUCCCCUCUGAUUUUCCCUCCACUGCCUGUCUUACCCUCGCCUCACCUGUGUGUUACUGUCGUCCUGAUAUGAAGCUUGGUGUUACAGCUCCCACGCAUACCAACCAAUAGAGUAACCUCACCCACAAACACACACAAACAAGAGACACACCUUUAUUGUACACAUGCAUGAAACACACACAUACAGUACAUACCGCAGAUGCCAGCGCAGACACACACACACACUGGGCAAACAGGUGUAAACUGUAGGACAUUGUCUGGUGUGUAGAUACAGUUUAACCUCUGCAGUCCACAACAAUAACAAUAACUCACUGAGGGACUGAGGCAGGGUACAAGAGGGGGAGUAAUGCGCUGUUUGUGUGCCUGUGUGUUCAUGUUAGCUUAUAUGUGUGUGUGCAUGUGUAGCUGCUGGUGUAUAAAGUAACUCUCCAGAGGCGUGUGCAGGGAAUCGUUCUUUGAGGACAGAUAUCAUUCUGUUUUGUGUGCAGUAGUUAGAUAGUUAGCUACAGUAGACUGCAUGAACAGUUGUGUAGAAUGACGUCUCGUGUUGUAACUGUAGAGUAGCAGCUGCUCCGUGUAGCUUCGUAUGGCUUAGUGUGUGUUUGGCCUCGACGUUUAGAAACAGGGUUUUAACCAGGAAGCAAUACACAAUGCUCAUUUUUCUCAGCUGUUAGAGCGUAAACCUGAAUUGUGUUCAUGUGAUGCAUGAGAAAACAAGAGCAGUUAUUUCACAAGUAAUUUAACUUCAAAUGUUCAAGGAAUUUCUCAAAAACAAGCAAUGAGCUAAAUUAAAGUGAGAAGAAAACCAGUUUUUCAUACCGAAAUUCUGAUUGGUUCAUGGGAAUUCAGGACAUGGUCUCCUUUUUCACCAGUGGCACAACAAAAGUGCUUAAAAUGCUGUACAAUACAAUUAGAGCAAAUUCAUUUGGUGGCCGUUCAAACAUCAUGGCUUGAGCAUUUCUCUCAAUGAAACAUAUAGCUUCAGAAUCUGUGGGAUGUUGUUUUCAAAGUAAGAGCUGCUUAAGGGGAAAUAUGAGCAGCUGAUACUGACAUCCUCUUGUUAUCGUGUAGUUGCUUUUUAGUCUUUGUGAAACUGGUUUGCAUGCCAUCAGGAGAAACCCUCACCGUGUGGACUUUAGUGUGUUAGUUCUGUGAUAACAAAAAUGAUGAUUCAAAGAGGCAGUCAGUCUGCAAAGAGAGCAGAAUUAACGUUUUUUUUAAAUGUUUAUCAUGGAUCCGCUUUUGUGUAGUUAUAUGUACAGCUUGAAUUCUGGGAUGUGUAGUUGUUUUUUAGGGUCGUUUUUAUUUCACACUAACAAGUCUGUACCCUGGCUGUUCGGGAGCUCCCGCCCAUCAACUGUCUCAGCCAAUCAGAGGAUUCCCUAUUCCUCUCAGUCAGUGUGAUGCCACCUUUCACUGCUUGUCUGCCCAGCCUUGGUGUGUAUGUCUGUAUGCACUGUAUGUGUGUGUUUAUAUAAAUAUAUGUGUGUGCGUUAAUAUAGAACCGGGUCAGCCAGCAUAGUGUGUGUGUGUUUGUGUCUGGAGCAGGUUUGUGUGUUUUUACUUUGAGGCCAAUGGAAACUGAUGACUGCAUGUUGCCUUAUUAAGCAAUCUGACAUUCACACUCACAGAUUACACGCAACAUCACAGUACCAACACAUACACAGCACACUUUAAACAACACGCAAUCACAAAUCCCAACUCGCAUACACAAACACAAAUCACACACCAUGUUUAAGUUGGCAUCAAAGCAGACUCGCUGAUUUUAUAAACAGUACCAGUGAAAUUAAAAAGGUUUUGUUGAAAUCCA